GUGGAGCAAUGGUUCAAAGUGUCUGACUGUUAACCAGAAGGUUGGUGGUUCAAGCCCACCCAGCAACU
rnacentral:tRNA from 1 species